rnacentral:lncRNA from 1 species
CAGCGCUUUGUAGAGUGGAGGGAGAGCUCUGCGCUGCGGGGAUGAGGGAGCCGCUCCACACCGCCCCGUCCCCGUGAGCACCGAGGGAAGGAGCCCCUCGCACGCAGGCCGAGGUGGCUCCAGGCUGGCCCAGCUCGGGCCCUUGUCCUGGUGCGAGCCGCUUGCGGAAGUUAUGGAACCUGUUUAAUUUUUUACCCACUCCUCCCUGGCCAUUCUGCUUGAUUUAAGUCCUGAUGUGCUUCUACACGCUAACUUUCAGAGCCAUUACAAAUCUUCUCCACAUGUGCCAGAAGGUUUCGGAAUUUUCCUGCGACUUCACCAUGGGAACUGCCAUUUCACCAGGAAUGAAUUUGACCCGCUGAGCAAUAAAGUGGAGGCAAAAAGCUCAUGCUCUAGGCAGACUGGGGGAAUUGCUUCUCUUUCUGUUGGCACGCUCUCCUUUGGCAUUUUUUUAACCAGCAAGAGCUACACGUUCACUCGACCUUCCUCCAAAUUCACCUUGAGAAAGAAACAGAGCUUUGAAAGUGUCGUUUUCCCAGCAACAGCUGCUGCUUUUAGCUUCCAACAGUCUUUAAAUCCAUAGAAGGCUAGUUUAUAUGGACAGGGAAGCAUUAAAUGCUAGGAAAUUAGGGUCUUUAGGUAACUAUUCCAGAUCUGCUAUAUCUGCAGUUACAGCAAUUGGUGGUGUAGGUGGUGUUCUUUUACUGGCUUUUAAUGAGACACAUUUAUUACUGCCUUGCGAUAAACCAAAGUAAAGCCAUAAAAGUGACUUUCAUUGAACAUUUGUUUGAGUUUUGCCUAAGUCUUAUAAAGCCCCGUUUGUUCAAAACUAGUUUUUGUUUUACAUGCCUUCUGCCACUUUGUGCAGCAGCUGUUAUCUCCUUCAAUACCUACAUAAAAUAAGCAUACCUGCCGUGAUGCAACAGAAACUUGUUCCAUGACUUGUAUGGGACAGAGUUUGUGUCCUUGCUCUUGGGAUAUCCAUCAUAAUCUAGUAAAUCCCUUGAGUAACCCCGCUGCUCCAUAUAACUGGGUAGAGUACAGAUUAGAAACUGCUUAUAUUUAUUUUUUAUAAUUUCAAAACAGUUGAAAAAGGUAACCACGUAGGUUGAUAUCUACUAAAAUUUUAAGAAUACCAGUGACCACUCCUUUGUCGAAAGGAGCGAAGUUCCAGUGGCUUCAGAAAUAUCUGUGGUAGCACAGAACCUUCAGUCAAAGUGUUGGGAUAAAAAUAAACAUGCUUCUCUAGGAUCUGCA